rnacentral:rRNA from 1 species
GGGGGCAACCCCUUGAGAGUGGCGAACGGGUGAGUAAUAUAUCGGAACGUGCCCAGUCGUGGGGGAUAACGUAGUGAAAAUUACGCUAAUACCGCAUACGAUCUAAGGAUGAAAGCGGGGGAUCGCAAGACCUCGCGCGACUGGAGCGGCCGAUAUCAGAUUAGGUAGUUGGUAGGGUAAAGGCCUACCAAGCCAACGAUCUGUAGCUGGUCUGAGAGGACGACCAGCCACACUGGAACUGAGACACGGUCCAGACUCCUACGGGAGGCAGCAGUGGGGAAUUUUGGACAAUGGGCGAAAGCCUGAUCCAGCCAUUCCGCGUGCAGGAUGAAGGCCCUCGGGUUGUAAACUGCUUUUGUACAGAACGAAAAGGUCUCUAUUAAUACUAGGGGCUCAUGACGGUACUGUAAGAAUAAGCACCGGCUAACUACGUGCCAGCAGCCGCGGUAAUACGUAGGGUGCAAGCGUUAAUCGGAAUUACUGGGCGUAAAGCGUGCGCAGGCGGUUAUAUAAGUCAGAUGUGAAAUCCCCGGGCUCAACCUGGGAACUGCAUUUGAGACUGUAUAGCUAGAGUACGGUAGAGGGGGAUGGAAUUCCGCGUGUAGCAGUGAAAUGCGUAGAUAUGCGGAGGAACACCGAUGGCGAAGGCAAUCCCCUGGACCUGUACUGACGCUCAUGCACGAAAGCGUGGGGAGCAAACAGGAUUAGAUACCCUGGUAGUCCACGCCCUAAACGAUGUCAACUGGUUGUUGGGUCUUAACUGACUCAGUAACGAAGCUAACGCGUGAAGUUGACCGCCUGGGGAGUACGG